GAUUGCUAAGAUUAUGGUUUUAGCAACAAGGCUUGAAUUAUUCAAGAGAGUCUAAUCCCUUCAUUUUGCGAAAAAUGUAAACACAUAGAUAAAG
rnacentral:sRNA from 12 species